AUUAAAUAUGGGCAAAACUGUGGAAACACAGUGACGCAAAACUAUAGGGCCUGUAAAAUGGCAGCCAGUUGCAUUC
rnacentral:ncRNA from 1 species